GUCUUUUUGUGUUAAAUAUAAAGUUUAACCUGCCCAUUGAAAAAAUUUAAAAGGSUGCGGUAUAUUGACCGUACAAAGGUAGCAUAAUCAUUAGUUUUUUAAUUGAAAACUCGUAUGAAUGGUUGAAUGAGAAAUUAACUUUUUUUUUAAAAAUAAUAGAAUUUUACUUUUUAGUUAAAAGGCUAAAAUAAUUUUAAAAGACGAGAAGACCCUAUAGAGUUUAAUAAUAUGUUUUUAUUGUAUAGUGUAAAGGUUUAAAAAUAAUUAUUAAAAAUAGAUUUAUUUUAUUGGGGUGAUAAUAAAAUUUAAUUAACUUUUAUUUUUUUUUUAUAGCUAUUUAUAUAUAUAAUUAUUUGAUCCAUUAAUAUUGAUUAAAAAAUUAAAUUACCUUAGGGAUAACAGCGUAAUUUUUUUUUAAGUUCUUAUUAAUAAAAGAUUUUGCGACCUCGAUGUUGGAUUAAGAUUAAAUUUUAGGUGCAGCAGCUUAAAUUUAAAGUCUGUUCAACUUUUAAAUUCUU
rnacentral:rRNA from 1 species